GCGGCGGCGAUGACCUUCUGCCGGCUGCUGAACCGGUGCGGCGAGGCGGCGCGGAGCCUGCCCCUGGGCGCCAGGUGUUUCGGGGUGCGGGUCUCGCCGACCGGGGAGAAGGUCACGCACACUGGCCAGGUAUCUCGCUAAAAAUGCCCCUGAUUACACCGAGUACUGUGCACUUGUUUGACUUUUCAUCAAUGGCCUAAAAGUUAAGAAAAACACUUUCUGUAAUAUUUAUGAUUGAUAUGAAGUGACUUUCAGAAUU
rnacentral:sRNA from 1 species